rnacentral:ribozyme from 1 species
GGUGACGGGUCCCCCCGCAAGGGGGAUUAAACCACAGGGCCGGUCCGAAGUCCGG